GACGAACGCUGGCGGCGUGCUUAACACAUGCAAGUCGAGCGGUAAGGCCCUUUCGGGGUACACGAGCGGCGAACGGGUGAGUAACACGUGGGUGACCUGCCCUCAGCUCUGGGAUAAGCCUGGGAAACCGGGUCUAAUACCGGAUAUGACUCCAUGACGCAUGUUGUGGGGUGGAAAGCCUUGUGCGGCUGAGGACGGGCCCGCGGCCUAUCAGCUUGUUGGUGGGGU
rnacentral:rRNA from 1 species